rnacentral:lncRNA from 1 species
CUGCACCCUCCUAUGUACGAGACACAAUUUGCACACCAAUGCAAUGGAAGCUGUUGAGGAGGAACCACCUCGGUUUGAUCUUUGUAAACUGCUGGUCUUCAGCCUCCAUAGACAGUUCUGGCAGUGCACUUGAACAAGGCUGCAAAGAUAAUUAAUGGAAGGAACUCUGAAAUCCAAACUCAGAUUAUUCUGCAGUCCCCAACAUCUAUCCAAUUUGCAUACCAAUUGGUCCUGCCAGUGUUACCCUGCUCUUUGUGGACACGUGGGACCCAGCAGAAUCCAUUGAGCAGCCAGCAGAAGCAGCAGAGCUGGGAACAGUGAGCAGAUGUCCUGAGCCGGCCCGAGGAAGCCCAGGCAGCCACACCAAUACAACCACCAGCACACAGGAUCUCUUUGUUGUCUUGAGCUCUCAGGGUGGCUGCCUAACACCUGCAGCACUCCCACAUCCCUGUGUAAAUUGCCUGCAUCCCUCGCUGACAAAUGAGAGGCCAUUGCCAGCAACAAGGUAA